CAACUUGAGAGUUUGAUCCUGGCUCAGAACGAACGCUGGCGGCAGGCCUUAUACAUGCAAGUCGAGCGCAUCCUUCGGGAUGAGCGGCGGACGGGUGAGUAACGCGUGGGAAUGUGCCCUUCUCUACGGAAUAGCCACUGGAAACGGUGAGUAAUACCUUAUACGCCCUUUGGGGGAAAGAUUUAUCGGAGAAGGAUUAGCCCGCGUUAGAUUAGGUAGUUGGUGGGGUAAUGGCCUACCAAGCCUACGAUCUAUAGCUGGUUUUAGAGGAUGAUCAGCCACACUGGGACUGAGACACGGCCCAGACUCCUACGGGAGGCAGCAGUAGGGAAUCUUGGACAAUGGGGGAAACCCUGAUCCAGCCAUGCCGCGUGAGUGAAGAAGGCCUUAGGGUCGUAAAGCUCUUUCGCCUGUGAUGAUAAUGACAGUAGCAGGUAAAGAAACCCCGGCUAACUCCGUGCCAGCAGCCGCGGUAAUACGGAGGGGGUUAGCGUUGUUCGGAAUUACUGGGCGUAAAGC
rnacentral:rRNA from 1 species